AGCGUAUGACGAUAUCAUUACGAAUAUCGAACAAAUAGACCAAGGUUGUCACGAAAAACUGGCAUAUCUCCCGCUAAUUAUGUCGAAAUACGAUAAAAUUAUGGACAACUAUACGGCCACACAAUGAACAGUCAAAUAAUUCGCGUCCUGCGCGUGUUAAUUUGAAUUUUGCACGUUUCUGAUAAACAUAUUUUGACAACUUUUCCAUGUCAAUGUAGCCUGCGAACAGGCUCUCAAGCUGAAUUGAGAGCCUGCAUCGAUGAUUAAUGAAUUUGAAUAUCUGCCCCGUAACGUUCGUUUUUCCAAAUAUGGAAUGUCUAUCCUUAUAUGGUGUUGUUUACAACUUUCAUGCAAACUAAAUUUAGACCGUGCAAACUAAAUUUAGACCGUACAGUUUAUACUGUUUUUCGAAAUAUAAGAUAUUCAAG